AGAUUGAACGCUGGUGGCAGGCCUACACAUGCAAGUCGAGCGCGAAAUGUCUUCGGACUGAGUAGAGCGGCGGACGGGUGAGUAACGCGUAGGAAUCUACCCGGUAGUGGGGGACAACUCGGGGAAACUCGAGCUAAUACCGCAUACGCCCUUUGGGGGAAAGCGGGGGACCUUCGGGCCUCGCGCUAUCGGAUGAGCCUGCGUUGGAUUAGCUAGUUGGUGGGGUAAAGGCCUACCAAGGCUGCGAUCCAUAGCUGGUCUGAGAGGAUGAUCAGCCACACCGGGACUGAGACACGGCCCGGACUCCUACGGGAGGCAGCAGUGGGGAAUAUUGCGCAAUGGGCGGAAGCCUGACGCAGCCAUGCCGCGUGUGUGAAGAAGGCCUUCGGGUUGUAAAGCACUUUCACUUGGGAAGAAACGUCGUCGGUGAAUAGCCGGCGGAAUUGACAUUACCUUGAGAAGAAGCACCGGCUAACUCCGUGCCAGCAGCCGCGGUAAUACGGAGGGUGCGAGCGUUAAUCGGAAUUACUGGGCGUAAAGCGCGCGUAGGUGGUUUGUUAAGUCGGAUGUGAAAGCCCCGGGCUCAACCUGGGAAUUGCACCCGAUACUGGCCGACUGGAGUGCGAGAGAGGGAGGUAGAAUUCCACCGUGUAGCGGUGAAAUGCGUAGAUCUGUGGAGGAAUACCGGUGGCGAAGGCGGCCUCCUGGCUCGACACUGACGCUGAGGUGCGAAAGCGUGGGGAGCAAAC
rnacentral:rRNA from 1 species